rnacentral:rRNA from 1 species
UGAAAAGAGAGUUAAACAGCACGUGAAAUUGUUGAAAGGGAAGCGCUUGGGACCAGACUCGCCCGCGGGGUUCAGCCGGCAUUCGUGCCGGUGUACUUCCCCGUGGGCGGGCCAGCGUCGGUUUGGGCGGCCGGUCAAAGGCCCCUGGAAUGUAGUACCCUCCGGGGUACCUUAUAGCCAGGGGUGCAAUGCGGCCAGCCUGGACCGAGGAACGCGCUUCGGCACGGACGCUGGCAUAAUGGUCGUAAACGACCCGUCUUGAAACACGGACCAAGACGC